UUUAUGAGAGUUUGAUCCUGGCUCAGGACGAACGCUGGCGGCGUGCCUAAUACAUGCAAGUAGAACGCUGAAGUCUGGUGCUUGCACUAGACGGAUGAGUUGCGAACGGGUGAGUAACGCGUAGGUAACCUGCCUCAUAGCGGGGGAUAACUAUUGGAAACGAUAGCUAAUACCGCAUAACAGUAUUUACCGCAUGGUAGAUAUUUGAAAGGAGCAAUUGCUUCACUAUGAGAUGGACCUGCGUUGUAUUAGCUAGUUGGUGAGGUAACGGCUCACCAAGGCUUCGAUACAUAGCCGACCUGAGAGGGUGAUCGGCCACACUGGGACUGAGACACGGCCCAGACUCCUACGGGAGGCAGCAGUAGGGAAUCUUCGGCAAUGGGGGCAACCCUGACCGAGCAACGCCGCGUGAGUGAAGAAGGUUUUCGGAUCGUAAAGCUCUGUUGUAAGAGAAGAACUGUGAGAAGAGUGGAAAGUUUCUCACUUGACGGUAUCUUACCAGAAAGGGACGGCUAACUACGUGCCAGCAGCCGCGGUAAUACGUAGGUCCCGAGCGUUGUCCGGAUUUAUUGGGCGUAAAGCGAGCGCAGGCGGUUUGAUAAGUCUGAAGUAAAAGGCUGUGGCUUAACCAUAGUACGCUUUGGAAACUGUCAAACUUGAGUGCAGAAGGGGAGAGUGGAAUUCCAUGUGUAGCGGUGAAAUGCGUAGAUAUAUGGAGGAACACCGGUGGCGAAAGCGGCUCUCUGGUCUGUAACUGACGCUGAGGCUCGAAAGCGUGGGGAGCGAACAGGAUUAGAUACCCUGGUAGUCCACGCCGUAAACGAUGAGUGCUAGGUGUUGGGUCCUUUCCGGGACUCAGUGCCGCAGCUAACGCAUUAAGCACUCCGCCUGGGGAGUACGACCGCAAGGUUGAAACUCAAAGGAAUUGACGGGGGCCCGCACAAGCGGUGGAGCAUGUGGUUUAAUUCGAAGCAACGCGAAGAACCUUACCAGGUCUUGACAUCCCGAUGACCGCCCUAGAGAUAGGGUUUCUCUUCGGAGCAUCGGUGACAGGUGGUGCAUGGUUGUCGUCAGCUCGUGUCGUGAGAUGUUGGGUUAAGUCCCGCAACGAGCGCAACCCCUAUUGUUAGUUGCCAUCAUUCAGUUGGGCACUCUAGCGAGACUGCCGGUAAUAAACCGGAGGAAGGUGGGGAUGACGUCAAAUCAUCAUGCCCCUUAUGACCUGGGCUACACACGUGCUACAAUGGCUGGUACAACGAGUCGCAAGUCGGUGACGGCAAGCUAAUCUCUUAAAGCCAGUCUCAGUUCGGAUUGUAGGCUGCAACUCGCCUACAUGAAGUCGGAAUCGCUAGUAAUCGCGGAUCAGCACGCCGCGGUGAAUACGUUCCCGGGCCUUGUACACACCGCCCGUCACACCACGAGAGUUUGUAACACCCGAAGUCGGUGAGGUAACCUUUUAGGAGCCAGCCGCCUAAGGUGGGAUAGAUGAUUGGGGUGAAGUCGUAACAAGGUAGCCGUAUCGGAAGGUGCGGCUGGAUCACCUCCUUUCUAAGGAAAUGGAAACCUGUACGUCAGUCUUCUUUAAUUUUGAGAGGU
rnacentral:rRNA from 1 species